AGUAACGCGUAGGUAAUCUACCCUUAUGACUGGGAUAACAUUGGGAAACUGGUGCUAAUACCGGAUGCACUUCUUUACUGCGGGGUAAAGGAGGAAAGGUGGCCUCUUCAUGAAAGCUACCGUAUAGGGAUGAGCCUGCGUACCAUCAGCUAGUAGGCGGGGUAACGGCCCACCUAGGCAACGAUGGUUAGCGGGUCUGAGAGGAUGAUCCGCCACACUGGAACUGGAACACGGACCAG
rnacentral:rRNA from 1 species